AAGGUAACGGAGGCGCUCAAAGGUUCUCUCAGUACGGUCGGAAAUCGUACGUAGAGUGUAAAGGCAAAAGAGAGCUUGAUUGCAAGACAUACAGGUCGAGCAAGGAUGAAAAUCGGACUUAGUGAUCCGGUGGUUCUGCGUGGACGGGCCAUCGCUCAACGGAUAAAAGCUACCCUGGGGAUAACAGGCGUAUCUCCCCCAAGAGUCCACAUCGACGGGGAGGUUUGGCACCUCGAUGUCGGCUCAUCACAUCCUGGGGCUGUAGUAGGUCCCAAGGGUUGGGCUGUUCGCCCAUUAAAGUGGUACGCGAGCUGGGUUCAGAACGUCGUGAGACAGUUCGGUCCCUAUCCGUCGCAGGCGUAGGAAAUUUGAGAAGACCUGUCCUUAGUACGAGAGGACCGGGAUGGACGUACCUCUGGUGUACCAGUUGUCCUGCCAAGGGCAUGGCUGGGUAGCUAUGUACGGAAUGGAUAAGCGCUGAAAGCAUCUAAGCGCGAAGCCAACUUCAAGAUAAGAUUUCCCACCGCAAGGGUAAGACCCCAGAAAGACUAUCUGGUUG
rnacentral:rRNA from 1 species